GGGCAUGUGAUGUCAAAAUAUUCCGUCUGAAUGUUGGUGAUGUGUUCAAAGGAACCACUGAUGCCC